AAGAGAGGUAUGACAACAACAAGAACUGCUAAUUCUUUAUCCCUGGGUUUAAUUCCCUGGCUCACUUG
rnacentral:tRNA from 1 species